UUGGAUUACGACUGAACGCGUCUAAAUCGGAAAACAUUCUUGGCAAUCCAGGUUUUUUUCUUUUUUUUUUUUUUCAAGCAGAAGACGGCAUAC
rnacentral:rRNA from 1 species